GGGACCAUAGCUCAGUGGUAGAGCAUCUGCUUUGUAUGCAGAAGACCCCAGGUUCACUCCCUGGUGGCAUCUCCA